UUUUCGAUCGCUGGUGGCGAACCCGGAGUCGAAAUUUCAAAAUGCAAAAUGGCAGAUUCAAUAUGGCGGCUCCAAAUGACUAAUUUUGUUAUGCUAUUAUGGAGGAGAAUGUUGGAUAUUUGGUGAUGAUGAAUCCGAUCGAAAUUGCAAAACCGAAAAUGGCGGAUUCAAUAUGGCGGUUUCCAGUGAAUAAUUUUGUCAUUCCAUUAUGGAGAAGAUCAUAUUCGACAUGUUCAUGUUCUUCAGGUUGUUGAUAAUAAAUCCAAUCGAAAUUGCAAAAUCUAAAAUGGCGGAUGCAAUAGGAUCUCACGCAGUGGCUUUCAGUGACUAACGGUAUUCCAAUAUGGAUAAUCUUAUCUCCAUUAUUAGAUGAAUUACGUAGAAGGAAACUAUUUCUGUGCCGAAUGGCGUUUCUGGUGAAAAGCUUGAAUUUAUGACAGUCGGACCUGCAACCAAAAAACAUAUCGAGCUUGAUAUCCGCCAUAUUGGAUCCAUCAUUUAAUUACGAGUGCGGAUUCGUUAUCAGCGACCCAAAGAAACCCUUAUAGUGUAAUAUUUCCUACGUGCAGUGUACCGUUUUCAAGUAAGGCGGUUGGGCGCGUUAAACGCUCGAGUUGGCAAUACACACGGAGCGAAAUAAAAUGCGUAUCGCAGAACAUUUUUAAAAUUCACACUUGAACAGAUUUAAAUCGCUGCGUAGCGUGAUAAUAACCGUAGAUGUGUAUUGCAAUUAUUCAUCAGAACCAGAAGAAGUGGUGCGUUAAAUGUUCGCGAGUCUGUA